AUUGAACGCUGGCGGCAGGCCUAACACAUGCAAGUCGAGCGGAUGAGGGUAGCUUGCUAUCUGAUUCAGCGGCGGACGGGUGAGUAAUGCCUAGGAAUCUGCCUGGUAGUGGGGACAACGUUUCGAAAGGAACGCUAAUACCGCAUACGUCCUACGGGAGAAAGUGGGGGAUCUUCGGACCUCACGCUAUCAGAUGAGCCUAGGUACGAUUAGCUAGUUGGUGAGGUAAAGGCUCACCAAGGCGACGAUCGUUAACUGGUCUGAGAGGAUGAUCAGUCACACUGGAACUGAGACACGGUCCAGACUCCUACGGGAGGCAGCAGUGGGGAAUAUUGGACAAUGGGCGAAAGCCUGAUCCAGCCAUGCCGCGUGUGUGAAGAAGGUCUUCGGAUUGUAAAGCACUUUAAGUUGGGAGGAAGGGCAGUAAGUUAAUACCUUGCUGUUUUGACGUUACCGACAGAAUAAGCACCGGCUAACUUCGUGCCAGCAGCCGCCGUAAUAC
rnacentral:rRNA from 1 species